GACAGAGGUGGCGAGCGUUAUCCGGAUUGACUGGGCGUAAAGGGCGUGUAGGCGGUUCUAUAAGUCGGUCGUGAAAGGCGUCGGCUCAACCGAAGCAGUGCGACCGAGACUGUAGGGCUUGGAGCGCGGAAGAGGAAAGGGGAAUUCCCGGUGUAGUGGUGAAAUGCGUAGAUAUCGGGAGGAACACCAGUGGCGAAGGCGACUACCUGGCCCAUUCUUGACGCUGAGGCGCGAAAGCUAGGGGAGCGAACGGG
rnacentral:rRNA from 1 species